UGCUGAGGCUGCCCCAACUCCUUCGUCUACUUCAGACGGUUACGUUCAUUGUGACUGUGACCGACAGUGUGUGCUUCCCUCUCACCUUCUGGACAUUUAAACACUUGGGGUGGUCACUGAAGCGUUAACAGCGCGGUACCAAAGGGGACGUCGGUGGCUGGAAUGGAACUGAACAGUUUUUCCAUGGUAGAGUCAGAAGUGAUAUAUUCUUAAAGACUGGUGUGACACAAACAAUGGAUGUGCUGUUUGUGCAUAUACUGCUUUGUCACACAGGGUUUAAAUUUGGUUUUGUAGUAGGUAUGCCACAGUCAGCAGUGAUGUGACAAGGGUUCUGUUCCUCAUGGCUUCACAUAUGCCUCCGUGCAGCAGAACCAGCGACAUCCUCUUUAAAUAGCAAAAUGUAAUAAACAAGUUAAAGGAGUUACGUUUGCUUUAGCUGUUAUCGUGGAAGCAAUCCUAAAGAUCUCAGAAUAACUCUCCUCAGAAGAGCCAACACAAGAAAUAGAAUUUCAAAACAGGAAAAUAAGACCCUUUUGGAACCAUAUUCAUGUCAGCCCUCAACAGCAUGCAUUUGAAAUGCAUAUGUUCAAAUUCCACAUACACGCACAGAAGCCUGUUUCUCUUCUCCAACUUGAUAAAAUCUGAGGACGUUCAUUGUUAAUCCAGAUAAAUUUUAUCUCAAGCUGUGAACAACACAAACUCUACAGUUACUUCACCUUAUGGUGUGAUUGGUGCAUAAACAUUUCCUCAAAUUCUACACCUGGGGAAGAAUAACUGCACACAUCAGUACCAGUUAGGAGCUGAUUUGCUGGAAAGAUGCUCUGUGGAGAAGGACCUGGGUGUCCUGGUGGACAGUGAGUCGAUCAUGAGCCAGCAGUGUGCCCUUGUGGCCAAGAAGACCAAUGGUAUCCUGAGGUGUAUUAAAUAGAAUUUGGCCAGAGAGGUGAUCCUCCCCCUCUACCCUGCCCUGGUGAGGCCACAUCUGGAGUACCGCAUCCAGUUCUGGGCUCCCCAGUUCAAUAAAGAGGACAAAGAACUUCUGGAGAGAAUCCAGCAGAGGGCCACAAGGAUGAUUGAGGCCCCGGAUCAUCUCCGCUGUGAGGAAAGGCUGAGAGACCUGCGGCUGUUUAGCCUGAAGUGGAGAAGGCUGAGAGGGGAUCUUGCCACUGCUUAUAAAUAUCUAAUGGACAAAUGUCUAGUGGAUGGGGCGAGGCUCUUUUCAGUGAUGCCCAGUGACAGGACAAGGGGCAACAAGCACAAAGCAGAACACAGAAAGUUUCAUCACAACAUGAGAAAGUGCUUCUUGACUCUGAGGGCAACAGAGCACUGUAACAGGCUACACAGAGUGGUUGUGCAGUCUCCUCCUCUGGAGAUAUUAGAAACCCAUCUGGACACUUUCCUUGUAGCAAACAAAACAGAUUAAGACAAACAAAGGAUGCUGGGAUUGAGGCUAGUUCCACCAAAAGGUGUUGCACUCCUGGGGUAUUUUCCCAAAGUAGAACAUUUGAAUAUUGUUGCUUCAUCCUUCCCUCUUAGCUUCCAUCCCCAACUCAACUACAACAUGUGUGCUCCUGGUUGGUUUGCAGUCAGGGAGAACCACACUUUUUGUCUGAGGUGUGUAUAAUUCUAUUCCUUCCUUCAUAUGAAGCAUAUAAAUAGUUUUUCACCUAUCCCAUUAACUAAUGCUUAGAACCAAACCACUUUUUCCCACUGUGAUUGCUAAAAUAGCUAUUAGGCAAAGCAUGAAGAUGAACUCUGUUUUAAACUAACAUGGUGUAAAGAGACUGGGGCUAUAUACCUGUGUUUGGCAUACAGUCCAAUGUAUUGUACCCUGUAUUUCUGCAUGGGAUGUUGGGAAUGCUUCUGGUAGCUGGUGAGGAGCAGCACAAGUUGCAACAAAUGAGAAAAAAUUACUCUUGGCACAGCUCAUAAUGAUUAAUUGACCAAAAAAAUUAUUAACAAAAAAAAAAUUAAUUACCAUUAACAAAAAAAAAAAAAAAAAGCAUCCCAAACCUUUCAAAAUAGUUUUCAAUCAAGCAGUAUUACUGAACUGAAUACAUCCUUUGGAGGAACUGAUUACUAAGUAACCAAAAUCCCAGAAGCCUGGGAUGGUUCUUAUCAAUCUGAGUUCUUGCUAUUCUCUGCUAUUAACUGACCAUAAAUUCUAAGUACUUCAGUGAGUAAAAUUCUGUCUGGCAAGAGCGAAAUCAAAGUAGUUUUUUAAUUCCGAUUUUAUUGGUAUUCUAUCAGUCUCUUAAGCACCAUUUAAUAAUUAUUUCAACACAGAUAUAUAGUAACCACUCUUAACACUGCCUUUGUGAUGCACUGAAGCUACAGUAACACAACAGAAACGUAUAUUUCACUCUCCAAAUCAUUGUAACCCCUGUAAUUUUUGUCAGGAACAUAAAAAUUGGGGAUGCCAAAUGCAGAAGGAUUUGAAAGCAAGUAAGGAAAACAGCUUGAUCUGAAGUAUGUUGAGGUCAAUAAAAAUCUUACAGUACAUUGUAAUCUGUCUUGGACAAAGCCCUAAAUAAAAAUUCAAAUCCUUCCAGGAACUGGUACAAAAUCAAGACAACAACAACUGAGAAAGCUUAUGAAGCAAUCAGUCAUCAGCAGAUGAAGUUAGCAUUACUUACUAUUAUGAAUCACUCUUUUUUUUUUUUCCAUGAAACUUACACUUUUUCCAUCGCAUUUAGUACACUCUAUUCCAAUUAAUCAGGCAGAAUAGGAAUACAUAGUGUGCUUCAGAUCUUGGAAUACCUUUAGUUCCACUGUCCAUCGUAGGGUUAGUCAUAAACUCUUAAAAGCAUACCUGGGAGAAAGGUGUGUGCUUGUCGGGGCCCUUCCCUCUCCGAUGCAUGCCUACAGCCAACCAGUGCUCCAGCAGCAGCUCUACUGCAUAGGCUCAACCCUGGAAGCCAUCCAGCAUAUUCUUUCUGAAUUUCUCCCGUAAAUGAACACAAAGGAACAGUGAUUGUCGAAUUUAAGAAGAGUUUGAGGCAUCCAGAUAGUGGAUGACUACCAGCUAUUUCAGUUUCUGAACCUGCCACAGAAAAGAAUUAAUGCUGUUUAUAAAUCCGUGAGGGAAACACCAUAGCGUACCUCCAGUUUUAAAAUUCUUACCUUCUCUACAAUCAUAAUUAUGUAUUAAUAUGAUUUUUUUUUUUUAGUCUUGAUCACUUCUGAUAGUAAAUAAUAUUGUUAUACUCUUUGGAUAAAUAGUAUAUUUAUCACAGUCGUUACGUUAAGAGAAAAAAAAAGGAGGCUUUGUAUUUAAAUAAAUUGUUUCAAUUAUUUUGUAAUGUUAUUAGAGUGAUCAGAGACAAAGGAGGACUAUAGAAGGACAGGAAAUUAUUUUAGAGAGAGCAAUAAAACAGUUACAGAAAAAGUAGAACUUGAAAUAAAUUUUCUACUCUUGUGAAGUCCGAAGUUGAUAAAGACUAGAGGCAAAUUAAGACUUCUUCAUCAUUUUCAACAAUUAAAUUGCAUCCAAAAGAAUUGGUUUCUCUGCCAAGAAUGACCAAAUUAAUAUCAGAUCAAGCCAAAUAUUAUUGCUCAUUUUAACACUUGGGAAAAACAGUGACAGGAGAAACAAUGCUAUCAGCAAUUAACUUUGAGUAGAUCCUAGAGAAAUGAACUUGGAAUUAAUAUUUUCUCAUUCUAUUAACAGUCAUUCAUAAAUUUCUUUUUACCAUAAUGUUUUAUUGUAGUACAGACUUGGUACCAAGGCAGAGUGAACCACCACAGGAAUGGGUUUGCUCUCAAGUCCUGGAUAAAAUCUUUCAUCACAACUUCCUUGUUUUCAAAACAAUGUUUGUAUAGCUCUGUAAUGAUGCUUUCUAUAGCUCCACUAGUAGCAUUUUGUUCGGGAUCUUGUUAGGAGUACUGAAUCGUGUUCAGCCUGUGUGAGGCUCCUGUGAAGAACAGUACUUCUCAUGCUUGAAACAUUGCCAUUCAAAUACCUUUGGGGCAAAUUUGGAAAUUCAUGUCCUUAACCUUGAAUUGUUCCCAAGUAGCAACAUUGAACAGCACUGACCUAUACUUUUCCUGCUGUAACCAGCCAUCUCCCAUCUCUGACUGGAGCUGAUCCCAUACAGCCUAGGCCACAAUUUGUCCCAUGGUGGCCAGAUUUCCAUACUCUUAGAUGUCUUUUAAGCAGCAUUUUCUCAUGAUAUGACAUAAUAGAUAUCAAGUUUAAAGCAAUUGCCUGGGAGAAUUACAUCAAAAGUAAUGAGUGCUAUUAACAUGAUUUUGGAUGUCAUAUUUCUGCUAUGUAAGAGGUUCAGUGACUUAAUGGGUAACACUUUAACAGCUGCCUUGAAAGUCCAACACAGCACAGGUGAAUCAAGAAGUAUAGUUACUUAUCCUGCCAGACAAAGAACUCGCUCUGUCAAACUCCAUGAAAACACUUCUGUGGCACUCCUCUUUAGAGUUACAUUUCAAUGACCCUUUGAAGUAGGAGAAGCCCACAGGAUAUCAUAAUUCUCAGCUUAAUCAGGAAAAAAAAAGUCAGAUCUUUCAUCUCUCAAGUCACAUUUUCCAAGUACUUCACUUCUUGGUAGAUUUUAAGAAUAUAGGAAAAAAAAUACUUUUAUAUAAUUAUAAUCAUCAUUAUUACUAUUAUUUUUUGCACAUAGGUGUCAGAAUAAACUGUUUUUCAGAACCCCUGUGUAAGUACAAAAAAGUUUUCUAUACCAAGACUAAGAGAUAAUAAGGAGUUGAGAAUCUUGGUUUUAUCACUGUCGUGUAUUUCAAUUUAACUGCGAACGGAAAAACAGUAGAAAAAGACAAAAAGAAGUAAAACAAUGCCUGGAGCAAGAUAGCUGCUGAAUAAAUAUUUCAAAGGGAACAAGAGAUCAAAUGUCAAUUGACAAAUACCUCCACGGUAUUUUUCUAUAUACAAUCACCUAUAUUAGAAGUUGUGAUUUAUAAGAAAAAAUGUCUGAAAAUGUUAGGAUUUUGAAGGCAAUGGAAUUAGCAAAAUUUAGCACAAUUUCCAAUAUCAGAGUUUUUAAAAAACUAG
ensembl:lncRNA